AUUGAACGCUGGCGGAAUGCUUUACACAUGCAAGUCGAACGGCAGCACGGACUUCGGUCUGGUGGCGAGUGGCGAACGGGUGAGUAAUACAUCGGAACGUGCCCAGUCGUGGGGGCUAACGUAGCGAAAGCUACGCUAAUACCGCAUACGAUCUACGAAUGAAAGCGGGGGAUCGCAAGACCUCGCGCGAUUGGAGCGGCCGAUGGCAGAGUAGGUAGUUGGUAGGGUAGAGGCCUACCAAGCCGACGAUCUGUAGCUGGUCUGAGAGGAUGAUCAGCCACACUGGGACUGAGACACGGCCCAGACUCCUACGGGAGGCAGCAGUGGGGAAUUUUGGACAAUGGGCGCAAGCCUGAUCCAGCCAUUCCGCGUGCAGGAUGAAGGCCUUCGGGUUGUAAACUGCUUUUGUACAGAACGAAAAGGCUCUGGUUAAUACCUGGGGCUCAUGACGGUACUGUAAGAAUAAGCACCGGCUAACUACGUGCCAGCAGCCGCGGUAA
rnacentral:rRNA from 1 species